CAAACGACUCUCGGCAACGGAUAUCUCGGCUCUUGCAUCGAUGAAGAACGUAGCGAAAUGCGAUACUUGGUGUGAAUUGCAGAAUCCCGUGAACCAUCGAGUCUUUGAACGCAAGUUGCGCCCGAGGCCAUUAGGCCGAGGGCACGUCUGCCUGGGCGUCACAC
rnacentral:rRNA from 1 species